rnacentral:rRNA from 1 species
UACAGAGGUCUCAAGCGUUGUUCGGAAUCACUGGGCGUAAAGGGUGCGUAGGCCGCACGGUAAGUCAGAGGUGAAAUCCCGGAGCUCAACUUCGGAAUUGCCUCCGAUACUGCCGUGCUUGAGGACUGGAGAGGAGAUUGGAAUUCACAGUGGAGCAGUGAAAUGCGUAGAUAUUGUGAGGAACACUAGUGGCGAAGGCGAAUCUCUGGACAGUUCCUGACGCUGAGGCACGAAGGCCAGGGGAGCAAAACGGG